UCCGGGUAGCCCGCGGACCCGGCCGCCCGCUCCCGAUGAAUAAUGCCUCCGGCUGGACGCAGUUAGGUGAACUCCAUUUAAGCCAGAGCCCAGCCGCAAGCUACGCCUUUGCGUGAUCUCAAGAUUAACGGUAGACGCGUAGGAUUUAUGUAGGAUCUGGUCCAGCUCCUGCUUGCCGGCUGAGAGAUACCGCCGUAGCCGGGAAGUUUGCUCGGUAAGUCCUUUUUCAUUUUCUUUACCUGCUUUCUCCCUUUUCCCCCCUCCUUUCCGGUUUAUUUAUGCUCUUGUAGGUUUGGGAGCUUAUUUUCAUUGCUUGGGACAAGAGAGGGUUCACAGAGCAACUGUUUUGAAGGAAGGAAGGGAAAGUGUGCUGGGGGAGAGUAAAAAAACCCAACCCUGCUAAAAUAUUACAUAAAAAGAUGGACUCACUCCAAAGCUCCCCACAGUGAGGCAUUUCACUUUUUUUGGGGUGGGGGAGGAGAGUGCUAUUAAUUUUAAUUGUUGAUUGUGAGGUGGGGGGAAGCCCUAGAAAAAUGAUUAUAAAGCACGCAGUAUUAUACAUAUUUCUUUUUUUUUUCCUAGAGAAUCAUAACUAGAGGGGAAGACACCCCCUUUCUGUAGCCAGAACUGAUGUGGUGACCCGUGUGUGCUUGUCUGGGAUUGCAGUGUGAGGGGGGGGGGGAUUCCUGCUGGGAGCAGGGGGGUGGGGUGGGCUUGGCAAAGGAAGGGCUGAGCGACUGCAGUGGAAGGAAGCAGGGGAGGAAGAGGAGGCAGGAAGUCAGUGCACCCCUGGUUAAUGCGGAGUCUGGGGAGCAGCCUUAGUUCCUGCCUCCCAGCUCGGGAGUGAAAGUCCAUCAGAAAAGAGGGUGAUCAAUCAAAACUAACCAGGACAUCCUACACUUUAUUCCCAAAGGACGUUGGAGCUUUAUUAUCGAAAACUAGAUUUUUACUUUGUUGUCCAUUUUGACAGCGGGUCUUGCCCCCCCCCCCCACCCUACCCCCCACCGCCACUGUCCCUGGAUUUUGUAAAAAUUGAGGGGGAAGUUACUUGCUAGGUGCAGUUAAUUAGAUAAAUCUGGCUGGAGGAAAUAGCUAGGCCAAGGCCAAGCCUGUGUGGGCACCUUACCUUCGUGAAAUAGGCUGGAGAGGAUUGUAAAAGCGUCUUGGUUUUGUUCUUUUUAAAGGAAGCCGCGUCUGGUGUGAUGAGGGGUAGAAUCGAAUGAAUGGCCAGAAUUUUAUUGCACUUUCGCAUCCGGAACACCUUGCAAUUUAAAAUUUGUAAUUUCUUUGGAAACAGUUGAUGCCAAAUCAGUGAAAUGGUUUGUAAGGAGGGAGGAAGAGGUUUCAGUUGGGGAGGGGGGUAAGAAUCGCCAGUUUUCCACUCCUUGUUUACGUGCUUGGCA
rnacentral:lncRNA from 12 species